rnacentral:rRNA from 1 species
UACAGAGGUCUCAAGCGUUGUUCGGAUUCAUUGGGCGUAAAGGGUGCGUAGGCGGCGCGGUAAGUCGGGUGUGAAAUCUUGGAGCUUAACUCCGAAACUGCAUUCGAUACUGCCGUGCUUGAGGACUGGAGAGGAGACUGGAAUUUACGGUGUAGCGGUGAAAUGCGUAGAUAUCGUAAGGAAGACCAGUGGCGAAGGCGGGUCUCUGGACCAUAACUGACGCUGAUGCACGAAAGCUAGGGGAGCAA